CCCUGAGAGCUGCGGUUCUGUUGGUUUCACCUCAGAAACUGUUUUUAUCGGUGCCCUUCUUUUGUGGGUUUGGCUGCUUUCUGGAUUUUUUGCUGUGAAUCUUUGGGAUAAUACCCAUAAAGUCAAAGGCUUGAAAUCCUUCUUCCAUUUGACAGCCGAGAGAUCUCUGGCUGCUGCCUUGCCAAAUACAAAACCUUUUCUGUCUCUCUAAAUCUUGAUGCUGCAUAUUUU
rnacentral:misc_RNA from 1 species